rnacentral:rRNA from 1 species
GAUGAACGCUGGCGGCGUGCCUAAUACAUGCAAGUCGAGCGAACAGACGAGGAGCUUGCUCCUCUGACGUUAGCGGCGGACGGGUGAGUAACACGUGGAUAACCUACCUAUAAGACUGGGAUAACUUCGGGAAACCGGAGCUAAUACCGGAUAAUAUAUUGAACCGCAUGGUUCAAUAGUGAAAGACGGCUUUGCUGUCACUUAUAGAUGGAUCCGCGCCGCAUUAGCUAGUUGGUAAGGUAACGGCUUACCAAGGCGACGAUGCGUAGCCGACCUGAGAGGGUGAUCGGCCACACUGGAACUGAGACACGGUCCAGACUCCUACGGGAGGCAGCAGUAGGGAAUCUUCCGCAAUGGGCGAAAGCCUGACGGAGCAACGCCGCGUGAGUGAUGAAGGUCUUCGGAUCGUAAAGCUCUGUUAUUAGGGAAGAACAGAUGUGUAAGUAACUAUGCACGUCUUGACGGUACCUGAUCAAAAAGCAACGGCUAACUACGUG